rnacentral:misc_RNA from 1 species
UCUUUCUGUCCUUUUAGGACACUUUCGGGGGCUAUGGUCUCCAUAGCCUCUGUCUGCAUCCUUGUCUUUUGCGUACUACAUGUUUCCUCGGCGGGCUUGCCCGCCGGUUGGACCACUUAAAACUCUUUGCAAUUGCAAUCAGCGUCUGAAAAAUAUAAUAAUUA